rnacentral:rRNA from 1 species
GACGAACGCUGGCGGCGUGCCUAAUACAUGCAAGUAGAACGCUGAAGAGAGGAGCUUGCUCUUCUUGGAUGAGUUGCGAACGGGUGAGUAACGCGUAGGUAACCUGCCUUGUAGCGGGGGAUAACUAUUGGAAACGAUAGCUAAUACCGCAUAACAAUGGAUGACACAUGUCAUUUAUUUGAAAGGGGCAAUUGCUCCACUACAAGAUGGACCUGCGUUGUAUUAGCUAGUAGGUGAGGUAAUGGCUCACCUAGGCGACGAUACAUAGCCGACCUGAGAGGGUGAUCGGCCACACUGGGACUGAGACACGGCCCAGACUCCUACGGGAGGCAGCAGUAGGGAAUCUUCGGCAAUGGGGGCAACCCUGACCGAGCAACGCCGCGUGAGUGAAGAAGGGUUUCGGAUCGUAAAGCUCUGUUGUAAGUCAAGAACGGGUGCGAGAGUGGAAAGUUCACACUGUGACGGUAGCUUACCAGAAAGGGACGGCUAACUACGUG